CACGCCGUAAACGCUGAAUGCUAAGCAUUGGGAGUAUCGACCCUCUCAGUGCUGUUAAUUUAAGGUAACCCGUUAAGCAUUCCGCCUGGGGAGUACGAGCGCAAGCUUAAAACUCAAAGGAAUAGACGGGGACCCGCACAAGCGGUGGAGCAUGUGGUUUAAUUCGACGAUAAGCGAGGAACCUCACCAAGGUUUGACAUGUAGCUGCAAGGUCUGGAAACAGAUCCGCCUUCGAGGGUGCUACACAGAUGC
rnacentral:rRNA from 1 species